GCAGUGCUUUUCUUCUUCCUGUGCUCUUUUGCAUCUCUCUGUUUCUUUCAACUACUCACGUUGCUGCUCUCCAAGGUGUCAAAUUGAAAAAUCAGAUACUGGAUGUGACUCCAAUUAAACUUGUGACAGACCCUUUGUCUAAAGAAGAUGUAUUAUGUGAACGCAUACUAAUCAUUGGUCUAUCACGAUGGAGACUUAGCAGUUAUUCUAGUGCAUA
rnacentral:misc_RNA from 1 species